rnacentral:rRNA from 1 species
CAGCCGUAAACUAUGCUCGCUAGGUGUCAGGCAUGGCGCGACCGUGUCUGGUGCCGCAGGGAAGCCGUGAAGCGAGCCACCUGGGAAGUACGGCCGCAAGGCUGAACUUAAGGAUUGGCGGGGGAGCACAACAACGGGUGGAGCCUGCGGUUUAAUUGGAUUCAACACCGGACAACUCACCGGGGACGACAGCAAUAUGUAGGCCAGGCUGAAGACCUUGCCUGAAUCGCUGAGAGGUGGUGCAUGGCGUAGACGUGU